rnacentral:rRNA from 1 species
GAUGAACGCUGGCGGCGUGCCUAAUACAUGCAAGUCGAGCGAACAGAUAAGGAGCUUGCUCCUCUGACGUUAGCGGCGGACGGGUGAGUAACACGUGGAUAACCUACCUAUAAGACUGGGAUAACUUCGGGAAACCGGAGCUAAUACCGGAUAACAUAUUGAACCGCAUUGUUCAAUAGUUAAAGGCGGCUUUGCUGUCACUUAUAGAUGGAUCCGCGCCGUAUUAGCUAGUUGGUAAGGUAACGGCUUACCAAGGCAACGAUACGUAGCCGACCUGAGAGGGUGAUCGGCCACACUGGAACUGAGACACGGUCCAGACUCCUACGGGAGGCAGCAGUAGGGAAUCUUCCGCAAUGGGCGAAAGCCUGACGGAGCAACGCCGCGUGAGUGAUGAAGGUCUUCGGAUCGUAAAACUCUGUUAUCAGGGAAGAACAAAUGUGUAAGUAACUGUGCACAUCUUGACGGUACCUGAUCAGAAAGCCACGGCUAACUACGUG